AUACGGAGGGUGCGAGCGUUAUCCGGAUUUAUUAGGUUUAAAGGGUGUGUAGGCGGGAGCCUAAGUCAGUGGUGAAAUCUCACAGCUUAACUGUGAAACUGCCAUUGAAACUGGGUUUCUUGAGUAUAGUUGAGGUAGGCGGAAUGUGUAAUGUAGCGGUGAAAUGCAUAGAUAUUACACAGAACACCGAUUGCGAAGGCAGCUUACUAAGCUAUUACUGACGCUGAUGCACGAAAGCGUGGGUAGCGAACAGGAUUAGAAACCCCUGUAGUCC
rnacentral:rRNA from 1 species